AUCUACGGCCAUACCACCCUGAACGUGCCCCAUCUCGUCUGAUCUCAGAAGCUAAGCAGGGUCGGGCCUGGUUAGUACUUGGACGGGAGAAGUUGUUAGGUU
rnacentral:rRNA from 10 species